rnacentral:rRNA from 1 species
CCUACGGGUGGCUGCAGUGGGGAAUAUUGCACAAUGGGCGAAAGCCUGAUGCAGCAACGCCGCGUGAAGGAUGAAGGGUUUCGGCUCGUAAACUUCUAUCAACAGGGACGAAAAAAAUGACGGUACCUGAAUAAGAAGCCCCGGCUAACUACGUGCCAGCAGCCGCGGUAAUACGUAGGGGGCAAGCGUUAUCCGGAAUUACUGGGUGUAAAGGGAGAGUAGGCGGCAUGAUAAGUUAGAUGUGAAAGCCUGGGGCUUAACCCGAGGAUUGCAUUUAAAACUAUCAAGCUAGAGUACAGGAGAGGUAAGUGGAAUUCCUAGUGUAGCGGUGAAAUGCGUAGAUAUUAGGAGGAACACCAGUGGCGAAGGCGACUUACUGGACUGUAACUGACGCUGAGGCUCGAAAGCGUGGGGAGCAAACAGGAUUAGAUACCCUUGUAGUC